ACGGGAGGCAGCAGUGGGGGAUAUUGCACAAUGGGGGAAACCCUGAUGCAGCGACGCCGCGUGAGUGAAGAAGUAUUUCGGUAUGUAAAGCUCUAUCAGCAGGAAAGAUAAUGACGGUACCUGACUAAGAAGCACCGGCUAAAUACGUGCCAGCAGCCGCGGUAAUACGUAUGGUGCAAGCGUUAUCCGGAUUUACUGGGUGUAAAGGGAGCGUAGACGGCAUGGCAAGCCAGAUGUGAAAUCCCGGGGCUCAACCCCGGAACUGCAUUUGAAACUGUAGCCCUUGAGUAUCGGAGAGGCAAGCGGAAUUCCUAGUGUAGCGGUGAAAUGCGUAGAUAUUAGGAGGAACACCAGUGGCGAAGGCGGCUUGCUGGACGACAACUGACGCUGAGGCGCGAAAGCGUGGGGAGCAAACAGGAUUAGAUACCCUGGUA
rnacentral:rRNA from 1 species